GUUUUUGAAGGAAAACAGUUCAUCCGAGGGUCUUAGGAACCAAAAACUCUUGGUGCAAAUCCAAGCAGAAACU
rnacentral:tRNA from 1 species